UUUGAAAAUUUUCAUAUUUAAUCACCAGGGCAGGUCUUAUUAUUGUGUUCCUUUUGACUUGAUAGUUGUAUAUAUGAUGAACACCUGGGGAAAAUUUUGAUUAUUGUGUUUGUGUCAUCGAAGAAGCCAUUUGAGUUCAGUAAAGACGUACAAUUUUAGAAGAUCAGCAACAACAUCGGUUCGGAAAACAUGGUCUUUGGCUCGUUUUUCAUCAUCGUCUAAUGAGAAAUCCACAGUGGAAUAUAGCAAAAAGGGAUGUAUUUGGAGCUAAUGGAAUCUCUCUUCUGGUAAGAGGGCCUUGUACUGGAGGAUGCAUGGUUAAUUUUCGUUCUCGAUAUAAACUAAUUGAGAACCACGUAGCAAAUGCCAGAACUCAUUGUUGUGGUAGGUCCUUUGCAUCAGAAGCUUCAAAGAAAUUGUCAGAAACAUCAUCUGCAGAGUCCUGCAUUUCUCUUUUCUAUGAAAAAUCAACAUUCAAACCUUGGAGAGGAAGUGUUUCAUCCAUAUUUUUUUCCUUUUGAUUAUAUGUUGACAUCAGGUUUCUCUAAUUCUCUUGACAUAUCCUCUAACACCCUUACAGCCCAAAAAAGACAUCUCUACUGUUAAGGAUCUUUUUGAUGCUCCUACUUAAAAUAUCCCAGAGAAGCCAGUAACAUUUACUGAGGGGGCCUCCUACAGUGUUAUAAUUCUUGCAGGGCUUGGGGUUGCUGCUUGCUGCUGCUUAUGCUGUGUUCAAAGAACUCAUAUUUGUACCAAAAGAAUAAGACAUCUCUUGUUGAACUGUGUUUUUGGGUUAGAGUGAGGCUUGGAUCCCCUAUAACUGGCUAUGAUCAGGAAAGUAGAAAUUGUGCAGCCCGUCAACAUAUACCUAAUAGGGGGGAGGGGAGCGAGGAACCGUUACGUGAGGUGAACCAACCUAGUUUGGUUUGAACCGAUCACACCAAGCUGAAACUUUUGAUCCAGUGAUUGGUCCCACAACAACUACAUCAAGUAAGUGGUGAUCACUCCGAUCACCACUCAUGGAGCCAGCAAGGUUUUAGCUGAGAUGUUCAAAGAUCAAGAGGACAAGCAGUGUAAAGUAUAUGUCCGUCUCUUGAUUUUGGGCUUUCAUAUUUGUUCUGAAAUCACCUUGGGCUUUCAUAUUUUGUUGAUAGCCCGCCCAAAGCUUUCUCAAGUCUAAGUCAACCGAAGCUUACAUAUGUUUAUGUCACUUGUCAAUGGUAGAUGCUAUCCGAAUUGGAUUGGGUCAGAUUGCCGUUUGAUUGAAAUUUUUUUAUUAAAACGAUAAAAUUUUCAACUUUUUUCAUUAAAAAUACUAAACAUUUAUUUUUUUAUAAUAAAGUAUCUAUCUAAUCACAUUAUUCUAGAAAACAAAAUAAAACGACAAUUCCAAAUAUUUCUAGCAUUUCACAUGACAUCAUCAAAUAAUACAAGUUUGGGAUAAGAAUCUACAACGCAUUAGAAUGCCCUUAUUGACGAUCUGGUACUCCAACUGCAUCUAGAGUUCCUCGAACAAUGUAAUAUCUCGCCCUUUGUUCAGUACCUUCAAAAGACAUAUGGAAAAUUUUGAAACUUCAAUCUGUUCAACAGAGUAAGAAUACCAUUUCCUAGAAGAAGAAGAAGGGAAAAAAAAAAAAAGUAGAAGAAGCAGAAGAUAAAUGGGUACCUUUGCGUGGAGUUAUCCCUAAUAAAAACACACAAACUUAAUUAUUUUUUAGACACAAACAAGGCCGGAUAGAAUCUUUG